UAUUUACUAACCCAAACAACUUUAAAUUUAGAAUUUUACAUGCGAGCCAGGUCGCAGCUUUUCCGAAGACCUCUCUUCGGAACACUUCCACGCGACUGCAAAGCUAACCUUAACCAAGUCACUACAAUUAUAUUAUUAUGUACGUCUCUAUGCACGUCUCGACUAUAGCAUUGAGACUAUAUAAACCAGCCAUUCAUAACAAAUCAUAGCAUGCAGCUAACUACAUACUGAUGCAAAUCAUGCGCUACAAAAGUUACUACAAAUCCUCGAAAUACGUUCACUACCAGCAUCAUUUUGGAAGUCUAUAAUAAGAACGAUUCUACUUAUUAGAUGUUUGUAAAUGACAUGGCGAUAUCUAGUUAGCUAACUUUAAAAUUAAUACUAAAUUUAAUUAAUUUUAAUGACGUUAUAUAAUGCGAAAUAUAAGAACCGUCGGUUUUCAUCAGGAGGAUUUGGCUGGUUAGUACAGUGUUACUAGUUUAAAAAUCCACGAUCAGCAUUAUGUACCGUAAAUGAUCUUAUUAACGCCUGGGCGUUGAUUAAGCGCUUCAAAAGAUGAGGAGAUAGUGAGUACUUAUUUGAGAGUAGCGAUUACUCUUACAUAGUUAUAGUUCAGUCUAACAUUUCUUGAAUAAC
rnacentral:lncRNA from 1 species